UGGGCGCAAGCCUGAUGCAGCCAUGCCGCGUGUGUGAAGAAGGCCUUCGGGUUGUAAAGCACUUUCAGUCGUGAGGAAGGUGGUGUAGUUAAUAGCUGCAUUAUUUGACGUUAGCGACAGAAGAAGCACCGGCUAACUCCGUGCCAGCAGCCGCGGUAAUACGGAGGGUGCGAGCGUUAAUCGGAAUUACUGGGCGUAAAGCGCAUGCAGGUGGUUUGUUAAGUCAGAUGUGAAAGCCCGGGGCUCAACCUCGGAAUAGCAUUUGAAACUGGCAGACUAGAGUACUGUAGAGGGGGGUAGAAUUUCAGGUGUAGCGGUGAAAUGCGUAGAGAUCUGAAGGAAUACCGGUGGCGAAGGCGGCCCCCUGGACAGAUACUGACACUCAGAUGCGAAAGCGUGGGGAGCAAACAGGAUUAGAUACCCUGGUAGUCCACGCCGUAAACGAUGUCUACUUGGAGGUUGUGGCCUUGAGCCGUGGCUUUCGGAGCUAACGCGUUAAGUAGACCGCCUGG
rnacentral:rRNA from 1 species